rnacentral:rRNA from 1 species
UUGACCUCAAAUCGGGUGAGACUACCCGCUGAACUUAAGCAUAUCAAUAAGCGGAGGAAAAGAAACUAACAAGGAUUCCCCUAGUAACUGCGAGUGAAGCGGGAAAAGCUCAAAUUUAAAAUCUGGUGGUCUUUGGCCACCCGAGUUGUAAUUUAGAGAAGCGUCUUCCGCGCUGGACCAUGCACAAGUCUCCUGGAAUGGAGCGUCAUAGAGGGUGAGAAUCCCGUCUUUGGCAUGGACCCCCA